ACGGCCUAAAGCGUGAUUAAAUUAUAUUAAAAUAAAUAGAAAUAAAAAUUAACUCGACUGUCAUACGUAUAUGUUAAACGGUAAACCAGAAACGAAAGAUAUUCUAACAAACAAAUUACUUGAACCCACGAAAGCUAAGAAACAAACUAGGAUUAGAUACCCUACUAUGCUUAGCCUUAAACUUUGGAAUACCCGCCCGAGUACUACGAGCCACAGCUUAAAACUCAAAGGACUUGGCGGUGCUCUACACCCCCCUAGAGGAGCCUGUUCUAUAAUUGAUACCCCCCGCUAAACCUCACCACCUAUUGCCAAUACCGCUUAUAUACCGCCGUCGUCAGCUCACCAUUUAAAUGAAAAAUAGUAGGCAUAAUGAUAAACAUAAAAACGUCAGGUCAAGGUGUAGCGAAUUAGGUGGAAAGAAAUGGGCUACAUUUUCUACACUAGAAAACACGAAAAAUUUUAUGAAAAACUAUUUAAAGGUGGAUUUAGCAGUAAAAAGAAAAUAGAGUGUUCUUUUUAAAUAGGCCAUAGAGCGCGCACACACCGCCCGUCACCCUCCUCAGAAAAACAACUAAUUAUAUAAUAAAAGAAAAUAAAAGAAGAGGUAAGUCGUAACAUGGUAAGUUUACCGGAAGGUGUACUUGGAUUAU
rnacentral:rRNA from 1 species